rnacentral:rRNA from 1 species
ACGUUGGCGGCAGGCUUAACACAUGCAAGUCGAACGGUAACAGGAGAAAGCUUGCUUUCUUGCUGACGAGUGGCGGACGGGUGAGUAAUGCUUGGGAAUCUGGCUUAUGGAGGGGGAUAACGGCGGGAAACUGUCGCUAAUACCGCGUAGAGUCGAGAGACGAAAGUGCGGGACCGCAAGGCCGCAUGCCAUAGGAUGAGCCCAAGUGGGAUUAGGUAGUUGGUGGGGUAAUAGCCUACCAAGCCGACGAUCUCUAGCUGGUCUGAGAGGAUGACCAGCCACACCGGGACUGAGACACGGCCCGGACUCCUACGGGAGGCAGCAGUGGGGAAUAUUGCGCAAUGGGGGCAACCCUGACGCAGCCAUGCCGCGUGAAUGAAGAAGGCCUUCGGGUUGUAAAGUUCUUUCGGUAUUGAGGAAGGUUGUUGUGUUAAUAGCACGACAAAUUGACGUUAAAUACAGAAGAAGCACCGGCUAACUCCGUGCCAGCAGCCGCGGUAAUACGGAGGGUGCGAGCGUUAAUCGGAAUAACUGGGCGUAAAGGGCACGCAGGCGGACUUUUAAGUGAGGUGUGAAAUCCCCGGGCUUAACCUGGGAAUUGCAUUUCAGACUGGGAGUCUAGAGUACUUUAGGGAGGGGUAGAAUUCCACGUGUAGCGGUGAAAUGCGUAGAGAUGUGGAGGAAUACCGAAGGCGAAGGCAGCCCCUUGGGAAUGUACUGACGCUCAUGUGCGAAAGCGUGGGGAGCAAACAGGAUUAGAUACCCUGGUAGUCCACGCUGUAAACGCUGUCGAUUUGGGGAUUGGGCUUUAAGCUUGGUGCCCGAAGCUAACGUGAUAAAUCGACCGCCUGGGGAGUACGGCCGCAAGGUUAAAACUCAAAUGAAUUGACGGGGGCCCGCACAAGCGGUGGAGCAU